rnacentral:rRNA from 1 species
UACGGAGGGCGCGAGCGUUAAUCGGAAUUACUGGGCGUAAAGCGUGCGUAGGCGGCCUGGUCAGUCCCGCGUGAAAUCCCCGGGCUCAACCUGGGAACUGCGCGGGAUACUGCCUGGCUAGAGUGCGGGAGAGGGCGGUGGAAUUUCCGGUGUAGCAGUGAAAUGCGUAGAGAUCGGAAGGAACACCAGUGGCGAAGGCGGCCGCCUGGACCGGCACUGACGCUGAGGCACGAAAGCGUGGGGAG